rnacentral:lncRNA from 1 species
AUAUCCCUUUUCAUACAAGUUACACCUGUUGCUAGAAAGCGAUUCUGCCAGUUUAAUCAAGCCACGCCCCUUCUGAGAUUUUUCCCAGGGAUUAUUUUGCUUAUCAACCCCAGCAGAUCAAACACCUUGACCUGGCCAGGCAUGAGCCAUCACACCCAGCCUCAUUGUUUAUUAAAGCACUUUUUAUUGAGCAAUAUUUAUUACCUUCCAGGCACUUUUCUGGGCACUUGGGAUACAACAGCAUAACAGACAGAGGUAGGCCCUGCCCUUGUGGAGCUCAGAGUCCACUGGGGAUGAAGCUGGCAAGGGAGAAAUGUGACAAAAGGCUUCUUUCCGAGGUUUUAUUAAUGUCAAGACUCAAAGGAUGAGAAGGAGCUUGGCACGUGCAGACCAAGGAGAACAGCAUUCCAAGUGGAGUUAAUGGCAGACGCAAAGACACUGAGGCAGGAAAGACCUUAGGAUGUUGUAGGAAUGGAGAGCACAGUGGAGUGGCCAAAGUGUUGCAAGAAAUGUUAAGGUCAUGAGAGGUGGGUUUGGCAAGGCAGCAGAGAUUAGAUCACACGGUGCCCUGGUGUUCUAGAGUUUGCAUGCGAUUUUGUUCAAAGUAUUGAUGCCAGAUAUAGUUCCAGCCGAGCUCAUAAGAUUUUGCUCUCAAAUUCUUUUUGGGAAUGAGAUUUUUUUAUUUUUUAGUGAAUGUGUUUUUCCUUCAAUAAACUUCAGAAACCAACUCUGAGUUUCAAAAAUCUUUUUUUUCUUGAGAUGUUAGUGCCAGAAUCUGAACAGUCUCCUUUAUUCAGCACACAGUUGCAUCAGUUUAAUUUUUUCAGGCUUAUAUACUAAAUUAGGUUACAAAAAUUCACCACACUUUUAUCUGUGCAUUGUGUUUUAAGUAAAUCAAAUUUAAUUAUGUUCUUUCUACCCUUUUUUCUUUUCUCCUGGCCUUUUCUUUGUUUUUUCUCUGAGCUAAAUAGGUCAUGCUUAAAUCUAUGAAGAAAUAAAUAUGUGUGCAUACUUAAUGUAUGACAUAUGAAAAAUGUACAAAUACAUGUAUGUAUUUAUGUAUAGAUAGGACUGUGUAUCUGAAGUUUUUCCAGAAAGUAAAACCAUGAGCCAACAUAUUCACUAAAGAUAGCUUUCGCUUUUUUUCCACCAACCUUCAGCAUUACUUUUAAACUUAUAGUAUGACUCUGAAAUCAUCAGUGCAAAUAAUAUGGUUAGACUCCAUAAUAGGUG